GUGCCAGCCGCCGCGGUAAUACCGGCAGCUCAAGUGAUGUCCCAUAUUAUUGGGCCUAAAGCGUCCGUAGCUGGCCGACCAAGUCUACCGGGAAAUCCACCCGCCCAACGGGUGGGCGUCCGGUAGAAACUGGCCGGCUUGGAACCGGAAGGCUCAGAGAGUACGUCCGGGGUAGGAGUGAAAUCCCGUAAUCCCGGACGGACUACCGAUGGCGAAAGCACUCUGAGAAGACGGCUUCGACAGUGAGGGACGAAAGCUCGGGUCUCAAACCGGAUUAGAAACCCGAGUAGUCC
rnacentral:rRNA from 1 species